rnacentral:lncRNA from 1 species
UACUUGACUACACCCAGCAGCCUUCCAUCACUGAAUUAGAAAUUCAGGUAGUCUAGUACCUAAGUGCAGUGAGUUGCUUGCAAGUCACCAUGGCGGUCUCAGAUCGGAGAGACAGUUAUACCCAUAUCCCAUUGGAGCAACUCUUGACAGCAGAAAUAGCUCCAGAGUCGAUCACAUUCAGUGCAGAUGUACCCUUAUAUCUCACCUGUAUGCCAUACCAGUGUCUCCACACUCCUUGGUUAAGAGGACAACCAACCCAUAUGGCACACAACGACUUGUGCUUGAUAAACGUUAUUGUUGGUGCAGAAUUUCAUCGAAAUUGGAGAAGCUGGAGCUGAGAUUAUCGCGGCC